GGAACGGGCGCCACCGACCCGUCUAGAAACACGGACCAAGGAGUCUGACACGUGUGCGAGUACCCGGGUGUGGAAUGCCCGCGUGCGGAAUGAAAGUGAAGGGCAUGCCCUGCCAACCGACCUUGAGCUGCUGCGAAGGGUUUGAGUGGAGCACGUGUGUCGGGACCCGAAAGAUGGUGAACUAUGCCUGAAUAGGGCGAAGCCAGGGGAAACUCUGGUGGAGGCUCGUAGCGAUACUGACGUGCAAAUCGUUCGUCAGACUUGGGUAUAGGGGCGAAAGACUAAUCGAACCGUCUAGUAGCUGGUUCCCUCCGAAGUUUCCCUCAGGAUAGCUAGAGUUGAACAGUUUUAUCAGGUAAAGCGAAUGAUUAGAGGAUUCGGGGACGCGUUGUCUUCGACCUAUUCUCAAACUUUAAAUGGGUAAGAUCCACAGUGGUUACUUGAUUGAACUUCUGGGAUAAAUGAAAACUUUAAGUGGGCCGUUUUUGGUAAGCAGAACUGGCGAUGAGGGAUGAACCUAACGUCGGGCUAAGG
rnacentral:rRNA from 14 species